rnacentral:rRNA from 1 species
UGGGGAAUAUUGCACAAUGGGCGCAAGCCUGAUGCAGCCAUGCCGCGUGCGUGAAGAAGGCCUUCGGGUUGUAAAGCACUUUCAGCGAGGAGGAAGGUGGUGAACUUAAUACGUUCAUCAAUUGACGUUACUCGCAGAAGAAGCACCGGCUAACUCCGUGCCAGCAGCCGCGGUAAUACGGAGGGUGCAAGCGUUAAUCGGAAUUACUGGGCGUAAAGCGCACGCAGGCGGUUUGUUAAGUCAGAUGUGAAAUCCCCGGGCUCAACCUGGGAACUGCAUUUGAAACUGGCAAGCUAGAGUCUCGUAGAGGGGGGUAGAAUUCCAGGUGUAGCGGUGAAAUGCGUAGAGAUCUGGAGGAAUACCGGUGGCGAAGGCGGCCCCCUGGACGAAGACUGACGCUCAGGUGCGAAAAGCGUGGGGAGCAAAACAGGAUUAGAUACCCUGGUAGUCCACGCUGUAAAACGAUGUCGAUUUUGGAGGUUGUGCCCUUGAGGCGUGGCUUCCGGAGCUAACGCGUUAAAUCGACCGCCUGGGGAGUACGGCCGCAAGGUUAAAACUC